rnacentral:rRNA from 1 species
CCUACGGGGUGCUGCAGUGGGGAAUAUUGCACAAUGGGGGAAACCCUGAUGCAGCGACGCCGCGUGAGUGAUGAAGUAUUUCGGUAUGUAAAGCUCUAUUAGCAGGGAAGAAAAUGACGGUACCUGACUAAGAAGCCCCGGCUAACUACGUGCCAGCAGCCGCGGUAAUACGUAGGGGGCAAGCGUUAUCCGGAUUUACUGGGUGUAAAGGGAGCGUAGACGGCAGCACAAGUCUGGAGUGAAAUGCCGGGGCUUAACCCCGGAACUGCUUUGGAAACUGUGCAGCUAGAGUGCAGGAGAGGUAAGUGGAAUUCCUAGUGUAGCGGUGAAAUGCGUAGAUAUUAGGAGGAACACCAGUGGCGAAGGCGGCUUACUGGACUGUAACUGACGUUGAGGCUCGAAAGCGUGGGGAGCAAACAGGAUUAGAUACCCGAGUAGUC